UACGUAGGGCGCAAGCGUUGUCCGGAAUUUAUUGGGCGUAAAAGAGCUCGUAGGCGGCUUGUCACGUCGGGUGUGAAAGCCCGGGGCUUAACCCCGGGUCUGCAUUCGAUACGGGCUAGCUAGAGUGUGGUAGGGGAGAUCGGAAUUCCUGGUGUAGCGGUGAAAUGCGCAGAUAUCAGGAGGAACACCGGUGGCGAAGGCGGAUCUCUGGGCCAUUACUGACGCUGAGGAGCGAAAGCGUGGGGAGCGAACAGG
rnacentral:rRNA from 1 species